GGGGCUUUAGUAUAACGGGAUUAUUUCUGACUUGCAAUCAGAAGAUAGGGGUUCGAUUCCCCUAAGCUCCACCA
rnacentral:tRNA from 1 species